CGCUGAAGCUAGCCUGGCCUCUCAGCUGUUGUCCAUUCUUGGGGUAAUGAAGCAGGGCUUUUAUCCUCUGCCUCCAUCCAGUCACUGGAUGUGGGCUACUCCCAGAAAGGGAGUAACCUUAGGUGAGGCAGCGCUGAAGAGGCCUGACAGCUGAGGCUUGUCUACUGACAACACUCCCAGCAGCUGAGGGGGAUAAGACCUCCAGGCUCAAGGGUGAGCUCUACGGCCCAACACAGCGUCCACCACACUGACGCAAUAUGAUGCCGACAAAAUAAACAGGCUUUUCGAUCUUCUGUAACUUGAAGGAACUGGA
rnacentral:lncRNA from 1 species